rnacentral:rRNA from 1 species
UACAGAGGUCCCGAGCGUUGUUCGGAUUCACUGGGCGUAAAGGGUGCGUAGGCGGUAGGGUAAGUCUAAUGUGAAAUCCCGGAGCUCAACUCCGGAACUGCAUCGGAUACUAUCCAACUAGAGGAUUGGAGGGGGGACUGGAAUUCUCGGUGUAGCAGUGAAAUGCGUAGAUAUCGAGAGGAACACCAGUGGCGAAGGCGAGUCCCUGGACAAUUCCUGACGCUGAGGCACGAAAGCUAGGGGAGCAAACAGG